CGCACAAGCGGUGGAUGAUGUGGUUUAAUUCGAUGCAACGCGAAAAACCUUACCCACCUUUGACAUGUACGGAAGUUGCCAGAGAUGGCUUCGUGCUCGAAAGAGAACCGUAACACAGGUGCUGCAUGGCUGUCGUCAGCUCGUGUCGUGAGAUGUUGGGUUAAGUCCCGCAACGAGCGCAACCCUUGUCAUUAGUUGCUACGAAAGGGCACUCUAAUGAGACUGCCGGUGACAAACCGGAGGAAGGUGGGGAUGACGUCAAGUCCUCAUGGCCCUUAUAGGUGGGGCUACACACGUCAUACAAUGGCCGGUACAAAGGGUUGCCAACCCGCGAGGGGGAGCUAAUCCCACAAAGCCGGUCGUAGUCCGGAUCGCAGUCUGCAACUCGACUGCGUGAAGUCGGAAUCGCUAGUAAUCGUGGAUCAGCAUGUCACGGUGAAUACGUUCCCGGGUCUUGUACACACCGCCCGUCACACCAUGGGAGCGGGUUCUGCCAGAAGUAGUUAGCCUAACCGCAAGGAGGGCGAUUA
rnacentral:rRNA from 1 species